UCCGACUUUGUGAAAUGAC
rnacentral:snRNA from 1 species